UUUAAACCGCAUUGAAAAUAGCAAUAUAUAUGAUACAAUUAGAACUCGCCAAUUGCAUUUAUAUCAUAUGUCUACAAAAAAAGAUAGAUUUUGUUUAUUAAAAAGACAUUUUUUAUGCAACACGACUAAUGUCUGCGUAUUUUUUCAUGUUUAUUAUUUUAUACAAUGUGGAUUUACUGACUUUUCCUCAUAUUUAUAUGAACAACUCGGAUUUUUUUGUAUUCAAUUGAAAAAGCAGACUUGCAAUUGGCGAGGUUUGAAUGUAUUUCGCUUCGUCACAUGGCAGCUCGCAUAUCUGUCAAGUUAGAAACGUAAACAAACACGGACAACUGCCCGUAAAGAUUGUGUGCAGAAUAAUCGUGAAAUUUUAUGUGAAAACUCGAGAAAAGGAAAAACAUCAUUUCAUCCCGAAAUUUGGCAACAUUCGUCCGAGUAUGAUCGAGCAGCUGUGUGUGUGUGUGUAUGCCGACGAAAUACGACGCCGCUUCUACAACAAUCACUAAAGCCGGCUGUGAUCGUGAUCGGCACAUUCUCAACUGGACCAACACACCUGUCGUUGUGUAUCUUCAACCAAACCAACGUUGCCAUACACCACAAAAUAGCAUGGAAAGGAAAGUAUUAUAAAAUAAUGUCAUAUUUGAAAGCAUUCUAAUCUUUCAUUGUUAUUUUUCCACUACAAACAGGAUAUUGGAUCACCGCAUCGACAAGUGGUUUUUAUGUGCAAGUGUUGUUAAGAAGUGUGUUGUACGGUGUAUUAUGUGUUUUACUUUAUUUGUAUCGCUUUGCAAGUGGUACAAUUAGUGCGUUUAAUCGUUGUGCUACUGCUAACGAAAAAACGAUCCGAGCAUUAGAAGCGGCAACAAUAAAUGUGCCUGACGCAGAGACAACAACGCCGUCGGCAUCCGUUGAUACCAUCCAAAGUGAUGGUUGAAAUCGUAUUUAAACGUGUAAAACCAUGUAUUGGGGCAUGUAAGUAUUGAAUAAUAGCUAAAUAAAAUACAUUUUAUCGUUGUACUGGACAAUGUGCAUCGAAAUUAAAAAAAAAGUGUUUGUGUUUUUGUUUACAUCCGAAUACAGAACCCACAACGCUAUACUGUGGUUCGAGCACUCGCUAAGUAACGCUUGAGCUUUGAGCUUUCAUUGAGCUUACAUAGAAUGUUACACGCUACCUGCUCACUAAGGACUGCUAUCGAGCAGUGUUAUGAGCAGGUAGCGAGCAGUAACGCCUCCAUACAAAAAUCGCGAAACGUAACGCUCCAAUGCUAUUUGGGCAAGCGGCAUCGCUGAGAGAGAAUUGAGCUUUUCCCGUUGUUUCCACCCCUGACAUACCAACGAACGGUGUGUUUGUUUCUACGCGAUGCGUUAUUCUCUGUUCCCGCUGCGCAAAUUCGAGCAGUUUCCAGCGCAGAAAAUGCACCAAAAUCUGCGCUGGCCAGCGCAGAUUUGGCCUGGUCUCCCGCGCUGUUCUUCAGCGAUUUCUGCGCUGGGUCGCGCAGUUCGGGCAGUUCGGACAGUUCGGACAGUUCGGGCGGCGGCGGAGCAAAAAAAAAAAACGGUCAAAAAAUUUAAAAAAAUAUUGGCGCCCAUUUUUUCGUCCGCUUCUUCCUCUCCUCUCCCUCCUUCACCCUGGCUUGCCUUACUUGAGCUUCAGCCCGUGCCUUCCGCCGCCAGCUGAUUGGGUGUUGUGGUGUAUGCGUUGAUACUUAUAUGUGCAUUGCGGUUAUGUAUUGUUAUUGGUGGGUGUUAGCAUUUAUUAAUUAGUGUGUGACCUUGGGACGAUGCGGGAGAAGCUGGAUUGGGAUUUAAAGUGUUAUCGGUGUAUUGAUGGAUUAUUUUAUUUCGUGCCGCUGCUGAUGAGACCAUUCGAUGCCCCUGCCAGUUGAGGGUGACGAAGCCUAUUUAAAACAAGCGUAGGAGAACGUCUAACACUAAUCUAAUAUUUUUUAAUUUGAACAUGUUUGAUGCUUCAACGACCUUCUAAGCAUUAUGUAGCACAGUGUAAAGUGGCAAUAAUUUUUUUUGUUAAUGUGCCGAAAUUUGUCUCGAGUUUUCGGGUCUCGACACACACACGCACACAGCGCGGGGAAAGUGACCGUUCAUUCUAUCAUGUCGUGAUUCCCCACCCCGCCCGGCGCUAGGGAUGAGGAUGCUACAAGAAAGCUGAACCAACCGUUCUACCGAUAAGGUAGCCGUAAUCGAUCAUGCGUGGAGGGGGGGGGUGGUCUAGUGGGGGGGGGAAUGCGUGCUUGCGCGCUUUCGUGGGUGCGUGCUGGCGUGCGCGCUUUCAUGCUCGCGGGCGCGCGUACGUGCGUGUGUGUGUGCGUGCGUGCGUGAUGGCGUGCGCGCGUUCAUGCAUGUGUGCGCGCGCGCGCUUGUGUGUGUGUGUGUGUGUGAGUUUGCGCGUGUGUGUGUGUGUGUGAGUUUGCGCGUGCGUGUUUGUGUGUGAGUUUGCGCGCGCGUGUUUGUGUGUUUGUGUGUGUGCGUGCGUUUGGAAACCCCAGAACUAUUUGAUUCUGAUGGGUACAUUUUCAUCCGCUGCGGCUACAAAGUCCAUGCAUUUUCGAUCUCGCUACCUGAGAGACAACACAACCAUUGGUAUUGACAUCUUUGCGAUCGGCUCUGCUGUUGGGGGUAUUAAAAAGACACACGAUCUAAGCAAACGUGCGUGCGAUAUGUUGCACAUUUAUUUCUUCAUUCAGCAACAAUUCAGCAAGCGGGCGCAAGUGGAAACAACAUUUUGAAUAGAAUCCAUACAAAAGAGGGUUCUGGAUUUGUUUAUUACGGUGCGCGUAUGGUGCUGCACCUGUCCGUCCAGAAUCAGAUGGCUUGUUGGUUUGGAGUAGUUAUCAUGACGCCGAUUGACCGGCAAUGCCUUCGAAUGGGUUCGGAUCGGUAGGUUCAUGUUUUGGUCGAGUGCAUUCCUUGCAUUUGUCGCGCCACAGCGGUAGACUCGGCAGCAACAAAGUCAAAACAAAAACUUUCCCCGAGUGUGGACUGCUAUGCUAAGUUCUUCUUCUUAUUAUUAUUAUUAUUAUUAUUAUUAUUAUUAUUAUUAUUAUUGUCAUUAUGGCCUACGCGAUCAUACCGGCCUUUUCAGGACUUGAGUACCACGUAGCCGGAUAGUCAGCCCUUGCUACGGCGGACGGUUCAUACGCGGUUAGAACCCACGACGGGAAUGCAGAUGUGCGAAAUGAUGACGGUGCCGCGGGACCGCUCCUACCCAGCGUGCAACUUGCAUACUGCCACACUGUCUCCUGCUGGAUGCAUACGCUGCAGGCAGGGGGAGGGAUGCACAUCCACGAUAAAAAAAACACCGUCAUAAACCAGCGGUGGACCUAACGGUAGGCGGACUGAGGGUCGCCGAAGAUCUCUAGUCUGUAGUAUGCCGUAUGUCUACAAGUGGACAGAUUAUUAGCGACAAGGGCCCCCGGAAAGAUGGUCUUUAGGGCUCCGUGGCUGGAGAACCAUUUGCACCUCCCCUCCCCCUAUGGCGACUACAAUUUUAGGGCCUGUGACCGAUGAUUGUAGGGGUCCCAUGGCCACCUCCCUUCCCGCCGGCAAUUUAAGUAUACUAGUCUGUAGUAUGGCUGUGUGCCACUACCCCCUCCUCCCUGUCAUCAGUUACCAUUGACAGGGGCCACAAUUCGUCUUUCCGCCUUUCAUGAACACCUUCCUUUCUUUGACCGAUGGAUCAUAUCAUUUCGGAAAAACACAUUUGACGACAGUUUUGCACACACACGUACGCUCAUACCCUUGCGCAGACGGCUCAGCAUAUCUGUGUAAUCUACAACAUACGAAAGCAAAAGCUUAGUGUAACAAAGUUAUGUUUAAUGCUUCACACGUUCAGAUCGAUGGCAGGCCCCACUGCCUGCCAGUGAACUUUCCAGCCUGCGUUCUAGGUGCUGGUGGAAAGGAAAGUUGAUGAAAAUCAGCGGCGGGAUGAACAUGUUAAUGCGAAUUAGGAUUCAGCGCGUUUCAUAGCAAACCAGCGUUAGCUAGCGAUUCCUUAUUCAUUUUUACAUUGCAGCAAUUGAACUUAUUGCGCUUUUUUUGUUUGAUUUGUGAAAAUGUAACUUCAUCGCCGCAAUAUUUGUUAACGGCAUUUUUAGGCGCCACAACAGCUCGCGAGCAUUGACCACACGCGAGAAAGAGAUGGCGCUAUGGAGGGAAAAAGCACGGACGACGGCUGACAGCGAUUGGCCGUCUGACGCACCAACACAUCCAAACCUUCGACAGCGCGCUCAGGCGAGGGGAAUGAGGCGGAGCCAGGGACGGGCAGCUCGACGAGCUGCUCGACAAAUUUGCCGUUGGAGAGAAAAGGAAGGCAUGAUAAAAUUCUCAGAACGCCAUAACGUCUUCCGUCGCUUUGCACAGCGGGUAUUUGGGUUUCGAUUGCUUCCCGCACAACAAAAUCGAGCGGUUUUGAGCUCGCUUUCUAGCUCGCAUUCCGCCGAAACCGAUCGAGAAAGCGAGCAGAAUCGUCCGAAGAACCGAUCGAAGCUCUUAAUCGAUUGAAGCGUUUACGGUCGUUCGAGAGAGCGCGUUGUAUGUGUUUGUCUCUUUCUGACAAAAAAGCUCCGGGACGCAAUCGUGUUGGCGCAAAAAUCAUAAUGGCCGAAAAAUACUUCACUCCGACGUUCUUCUUCUCCCCUCCUCCUCCCUUAUACCGCUUUAUCAUUAUUAUUUCUUGUUCUCUAGCUACAUUGAGCGAGCGGCUGAGAAGUUUUCGAUCGCUUUGCGCAGCGGGUGGCAAACAAUGACGCCAAAACUCAAAGCGUUCAUAUGAGUUGAAUUUCGGCAGAAUUUCGACAUUAAACUUUAUUCCGGAAACUGGUACAACAUCCCUUACAUCCCGCACAACAAAAUCGAGCAGUUUUUGAGCUCGGUUCGUAGCUCGCUUUCCGCCGAAACCGAUGGAGAAAGCGAGCAGAAACGUCCGAAGAACCGAUCGAACGUCCUCUUCAUCAAUUGAAGCGUUUACGAUCGUUCGAGAGAGCGCGUUGUAUGUGUUUGUCUCUUUCUCACAAAAAAGCGACCGUGUUGGCGCAAAAAUGAUAAUGGUCGAAAAAUAGUUUACACCCACGUUCGCUUUCUUCCCUUUUUCCCUUCUUCCCCAUCUUUUCAUCUCGCUUUUUCAUUAUUGGUUAUUGCUCUCUAGCUACAUUGAGCGAGAGUUUGAGAAGUUUUCGAUCGCUUUGCGC